CCUACGGGUGGCAGCAGUGAGGAAUAUUGGUCAAUGGCCGUAAGGCUGAACCAGCCAAGUAGCGUGAGGGAAGACUGCCCUAUGGGUUGUAAACCUCUUUUAUGCGGGGAUAAAGGUGUCCACGUGUGGAUGUUUGCAGGUACCGCAUGAAUAAGGACCGGCUAAUUCCGUGCCAGCAGCCGCGGUAAUACGGAGGGUCCGGGCGUUAUCCGGAUUUGUUGGGUUUAAAGGGAGCGCAGGCGGGUCUUUAAGCGUGCCGUGAAAUUUUGUGGCUCAACCAGGAGAGUGCGGCGCGAACUGGAGACCUUGAGUGCGCGGAAGGCAGGCGGAAUUCGUGGUGUAGCGGUGAAAUGCUUAGAUAUCACGAAGAACCCCGAUUGCGAAGGCAGCCUGCCGCAGCGUUACUGACGCUGAAGCUCGAAAGUGCGGGUAGCGAACAGGAUUAGAUACCCGAGUAGUC
rnacentral:rRNA from 1 species